UGUAGUGGAUUACAUUGAUGGAUUUCCAUAUAUUGAACCAUCCCUGCAUUCCUGGCAUGAAGACGACUUGAUCAUGGAACCAAACGUGGACUGACAAGGUCCCUGGGAUCCAACCUGGGCUGCCAACCUUCGGGACACUAAGGACAGAUGAGCAUAGACACAGUCCCUCACUCAAUCUGGCCUCCCAGAUUGGGUAAAGUGGCUGGCCAUCAUGUCCCUGUCUUUCUCAUGUCUCCAUCCAAGCAGAGCUGGGAUAAGGUUAGUAAUGGGUACUGAAUCCUCAGAUCCUUCCUCCUGCUUGCCUUGAUUAUAAUUGCGCUUGUGUGGUUUCAUAUAGCUUUGUUUUA